AUUGAACGCUGGCGGCAUGCUUUACACAUGCAAGUCGAACGGUAACGCGGGGCAACCUGGCGACGAGUGGCGAACGGGUGAGUAAUGCAUCGGAACGUGCCCGGUAGUGGGGGAUAAUUGCUCGAAAGAGCAGCUAAUACCGCAUACGACCUGAGGGUGAAAGGGGGGGAUCGCAAGACCUCUCGCUAUUGGAGCGGCCGAUGUCGGAUUAGCUAGUUGGUGGGGUAAGGGCCCACCAAGACGACGAUCCGUAGCUGGUCUGAGAGGACGACCAGCCACACUGGGACUGAGACACGGCCCAGACUCCUACGGGAGGCAGCAGUGGGGAAUUUUGGACAAUGGACGAAAGUCUGAUCCAGCCAUGCCGCGUGCGGGAAGAAGGCCUUCGGGUUGUAAACCGCUUUUGUCAGAGAAGAAAUCUUCUGGGUUAAUACCUCGGGAGGAUGACGGUAUCUGAAGAAUAAGCACCGGCUAACUACGUGCCAGCCGCCGCGGUAA
rnacentral:rRNA from 1 species